GCACGGGUCACUUCCUGUCUUUCUGUUGCUGUGAAUGAAAUAAAAUGGAGACCUUUGUGUUCAUCACAGCUUUGCUGUUUGCCUUUGAAUAUGCUCACUGUGACCCCACACUGACGGAGUCUGAUCCACAGGUGAAGAAGCCUGGAGAAUCCGUCAGGCUCUCCUGUAAAAUUACUGGAUUCUCUCUCAGCAGCAACAGCGUGCACUGGGUUCGACAGGCUCCAGGCAAAGGGCUGCAAUGGGUUGGAUACUACGAGGGUUCCUUCCACAGUCGUUUCAAAGUGACAGAAGAUUCAUCCAACAGCAUUGCUUACUUGGACAUCACAGACCUCCAGCCCUCAGACACAGCCGUGUAUUACUGUGCCCGAGACUAA